CAGUAGCCACGGGAAUACGUAGGUGGCAAGCGUUGUCCGGAAUUACUGGGCGUAAAGGGCUCGCAGGCGGUUUCUUAAGUCUGAUGUGAAAGCCCCCGGCUCAACCGGGGAGGGUCAUUGGAAACUGGGAAACUUGAGUGCAGAAGAGGAGAGUGGAAUUCCACGUGUAGCGGUGAAAUGCGUAGAGAUGUGGAGGAACACCAGUGGCGAAGGCGACUCUCUGGUCUGUAACUGACGCUGGGGAGCGAAAGCGUGGGGAGCGAACAGGAUUAGAUACCCCUGUAGUCCCUGUCUCUUAUCU
rnacentral:rRNA from 1 species